UACAGAGGUCCCAAGCGUUUGUUCGGAUUCAUUGGGCGUAAAGGGUGCGUAGGCGGCGCGGUAAGUCGGGUGUGAAAUCUCGGAGCUUAACUCCGAAACUGCAUUCGAUACUGCCGUGCUUGAGGACUGGAGAGGAGACUGGAAUUUACGGUGUAGCGGUGAAAUGCGUAGAUAUCGUAAGGAAGACCAGUGGCGAAAGGCGGGUCUCUGGACAGUUCCUGACGCUGAGGCACGAAGGCCAGGGGAGCGAACGGG
rnacentral:rRNA from 1 species